GAUGAACGCUGGCGGCGUGCCUAAUACAUGCAAGUCGAGCGAACGGACGAGAAGCUUGCUUCUCUGAUGUUAGCGGCGGACGGGUGAGUAACACGUGGAUAACCUACCUAUAAGACUGGGAUAACUUCGGGAAACCGGAGCUAAUACCGGAUAAUAUUUUGAACCGCAUGGUUCAAAAGUGAAAGACGGUCUUGCUGUCACUUAUAGAUGGAUCCGCGCUGCAUUAGCUAGUUGGUAAGGUAACGGCUUACCAAGGCAACGAUGCAUAGCCGACCUGAGAGGGUGAUCGGCCACACUGGAACUGAGACACGGUCCAGACUCCUACGGGAGGCAGCAGUAGGGAAUCUUCCGCAAUGGGCGAAAGCCUGACGGAGCAACGCCGCGUGAGUGAUUAAGGUCUUCGGAUCGUAAAACUCUGUUAUUAGGGAAGAACAUAUGUGUAAGUAACUGUGCACAUCUUGACGGUACCUAAUCGGAAAGCCACGGCUAACUACGUG
rnacentral:rRNA from 1 species